UACGGAGGGUCCGAGCGUUAUCCGGAAUCAUUGGGUUUAAAGGGUCCGUAGGCGGCCCUGUAAGUCAGUGGUGAAAUCUCCCGGCUCAACCGGGAAAUUGCCAUUGAUACUGCAGGGCUUGAAUUAUUGGGAAGUAACUAGAAUAUGUAGUGUAGCGGUGAAAUGCUUAGAUAUUACAUGGAAUACCGAUUGCGAAGGCAGGUUACUACUAAUGGAUUGACGCUGAUGGACGAAAGCGUGGGUAGCGAACAGG
rnacentral:rRNA from 1 species